rnacentral:misc_RNA from 1 species
GUCGUAACAAGGUUUCCGUAGGUGAACCUGCGGAAGGAUCAUUACCACACCUUAAAACUAUCCACGUGAACCGUUUGUACCCAGAUUUGCGCCGAGAUUUUCGUGCGUGUUUGUUUGUAUCACUGUGUAUUCGUACGCGGUGUGUGGCAAAUAUGUAUGGAGCUUGGCUGAUCGAAGGUCGUAUCGCACUUUAUUGUGUGUGUCGGCUGACUUAUUUUUCAAACCCAUUACUUACUACUGAUUAUACUGUGAAGACGAAAGUCUUUGCUUUUACUAGAUAACAACUUUCAGCAGUGGAUGUCUAGGCUC